UGGGGAAUAUUGGACAAUGGGGGCAACCCUGAUCCAGCAAUGCCGCGUGUGUGAAGAAGGUCUUCGGAUUGUAAAGCACUUUCGACGGGGACGAUGAUGACGGUACCCGUAGAAGAAGCCCCGGCUAACUUCGUGCCAGCAGCCGCGGUAAUACGAAGGGGGCUAGCGUUGCUCGGAAUGACUGGGCGUAAAGGGCGUGUAGGCGGUUUACACAGUCAGAUGUGAAAUCCCCGGGCUUAACCUGGGAGCUGCAUUUGAUACGUGUAGACUAGAGUGUGAGAGAGGGUUGUGGAAUUCCCAGUGUAGAGGUGAAAUUCGUAGAUAUUGGGAAGAACACCGGUGGCGAAGGCGGCAACCUGGCUCAUGACUGACGCUGAGGCGCGAAAGCGUGGGGAGCAAACAGGUUAGAUACCCUGGUAGUCCACGCUGUAAACGAUGUGUGCUAGAUGUUGGGUACUUUGUUA
rnacentral:rRNA from 1 species